rnacentral:misc_RNA from 1 species
GACGUCAUCCCCACCUUCCUCCGAGUUGACCCCGGCAGUCUCCCAUGAGUCCCCGGCAUAACCCGCUGGCAACAUGGGACAAGGGUUGCGCUCGUUGCGGGACUUAACCCAACAUCUCACGACACGAGCUGACGACAACCAUGCACCACCUGUGCACCGACCUUACGGGGCACCUAUCUCUAGGUGUUUCCGGUGCAUGUCAAGCCUUGGUAAGGUUCUUCGCGUUGCAUCGAAUUAAUCCGCAUGCUCCGCCGCUUGUGCGGGCCCCCGUCAAUUCCUUUGAGUUUUAGCCUUGCGGCCGUACUCCCCAGGCGGGGCACUUAAUGCGUUAGCUGCGGCACGGAACUCGUGGAAUGAGCCCCACACCUAGUGCCCAACGUUUACGGCAUGGACUACCAGG